GACGGAGGGUGCUAGCGUUGUUCGGAAUCACUGGGCGUAAAGGGCGCGUAGGCGGCCAGGCAAGUCGGCUUUGUGAAAGCCCGGGGCUCAACCCCGGAGGUGCGGCCGGGACUGCUUGGCUGGAGGCCGGAAGAGGAGGGUGGAAUACCCAGUGUAGAGGUGAAAUUCGUAGAUAUUGGGUGGAACACCGGUGGCGAAAGCGGCUCUCUGGUCCGGACCUGACGCUGAGGCGCGAAAGCGUGGGGAGCAAACAGG
rnacentral:ncRNA from 2 species